GCGCAGAAGGCGAGAAUUUUUCUCAAUGGGGGAAACCCUGAAGGAGCGACGCCGCGUGGAGGAUGAAGGCUUUCGGGUUGUAAACUCCUGUCAUUUGAGAACAAGUGUAGCUAAGUAACUACUGGCUACUUGAUAGUAUCAGAAGAGGAAGAGACGGCUAACUCUGUGCCAGCAGCCGCGGUAAUACAGAGGUCUCAAGCGUUGUUCGGAUUCAUUGGGCGUAAAGGGUGCGUAGGUGGCGGGGUAAGUCAGGUGUGAAAUUUCGGAGCUCAACUCCGAAACUGCAUUUGAUACUGCCUUGCUUGAGGACUGGAGAGGAGACUGGAAUUCACGGUGUAGCAGUGAAAUGCGUAGAGAUCGUGAGGAAGACCAGUGGCGAAGGCGGGUCUCUGGACAGUUCCUGACACUGAGGCACGAAGGCCAGGGGAGCAAACGGGAUUAGAUACCCGUGUAGU
rnacentral:rRNA from 1 species